UUCUCCCGGCCGAUCUGAGACAAUUUUUUUAUCGGGGCUCAAAAAAAGGCAGUGUACAACCUUCCUUUUUUUACCAAAAAUCGACUGCACCAAAUCUUAUCCGUAUAAUUAAUGGGAAAACGAUCAUUCACAGGAUCAACCCCCCCCACAUAGGUACAAGGUGGGUACCGGGAGGUGAUGGCUACCUAAAAAAUUGGUAUUCAUUUAGCGCUUGUCAUUGAGGAUUCAAUUAGCUUUCGAAGUGUAAGUAAAUUAAUUCCACACCUGCACUCGAAAAGGGUUCAUUGCAAGAUGGAGUCGGUCUCUAGUGCUACCUAAAAAAUUCGUAUUCAUUUAGAGGGCUAAAUUAUCCCUUGCGGUGUAAGUAAAUUAAAUUAAAAACCUGCAAUCUAAUAGGGUUGCUUUUCAAAGAUUGCAGUGGGUCUCUAGUCAUUGCUAGUCAUUGAAUGCCUGUCCUUGAGGGUUAAAUUAGCUCUGGAGGUGUAUGUAAAUUAAUUUAACCCGUGCACUCGAAAAGGGCUUAUGUUCCAUCGUUUUUUUUUUGAAGAUUGGGGUUGGUUUCUAGUGCUACCUAAAUUGGGAUCCAUUCAAUCACUUGUAACGGGUGGCCGCUUUUUCGUUUCAAAAAUUGAGUUUUGAAAUUAUAUUUUGAUGAAUAUAGGAAAAUUUACACAUAUACCGCUUAAUAGCGAACGUGCACGGAAGUAUGGAAAUAAAAGCGAUAACAACGUUUGCAUUUUCGAAAUUGUAAGGGGGUUUUCGGCAGAUGUGAUUAGACUUUCAAAGGGUUAGCUUUUAUUUUCGCAAAAUUGCGAUUAUUUCGUAGCUAAUUUCGCGAGAGGUUAGGUGCGUGAAAGCAGAGAAUUUAAAUUAAUCUCAACACAGCGGAACAUUGGCAUUUUAUUUCUGUGCGAUCUCGAGUUUUAGUUUCGAGAAUUUGUAGUCGGUUUGCUGGGAUUCGCGAUUCAUACGAACUGUCAAAUUUGGCAUUCAGCCAUUCAGAGAACGUUACCGGGGCAGUGUAGAAAGUAGUGAUCUCUAUUUACAUUUUUCUAAUGGAAGCGGCAUUUUCCAAGGAGAGAUCAGAGAAUAUUACCCACGUAAAUAACUGUAAGUAGUUUUUGAUUUGUAUAAAGCAGGAAUUUGCAUAAGUAAUUUUUUUCGAAGUAAUUUUAAUAUUCCUAAAGGAAUCGACCCGUAUAACUUAUUUGCAUGAAACAAUUUUGGUUAUUGUGCUUUAUUGAUCGGAAAUGUUAUAUUUAAUUUGAGUGAUCACGAUACAUUUUUGUUGUGUUUAUUUUCAUCGCUGAUUUGAGGUGACUGACUUUCGACGGAUCGGUCGCGCCAUAACGGAUCUUCACGGACCACUUCGAGAUGCACUCUUCCCACGAAGUGUUGGCACAUGCUGGCUCGGCUUUAGAGUUCAAUCAAACCAGAGCACGUUUUCAGAGGAGAUCAAGGACAAACUUCGAAGAAUACAAGAUGUCGUCGCACAACCAUCAAUAAUGAGCGUGUCUGUUAAAACGCAGAAUGCCAUUUUCGUAGAACUGAUUUGUACAACGCUGCCAAAGCUGAAUUAUCUCCCUUGUCGUUAAAUCAACCAACAAUCUUCGUUAUCGCUACCACAAAAAAGCCACCAACGCCAGCCAUCAUCGUCUUCGUUUGUUUAUUGAACCUACUUCGAACAUUAACAGUGCAUGUGUCGUAUCGAUCAUCAAACUAACAAUUAGAAUCAAAUACUAUAUUUGUAUUUUUAAGCAAUAAACACGUUAACCAUUA